AACGAACGCUGGCGGCAGGCCUAACACAUGCAAGUCGAACGAACCUUCGGGUUAGUGGCGCACGGGUGCGUAACGCGUGGGAAUGUACACCUUGGUAAGGAAUAACUGCUGGAAACGGUAGCUAAUACCUUAUAAUGACUUCGGUCCAAAGAUUUAUCGCCAAGGAAUCAGCCCGCGUUAGAUUAGCUAGUUGGUGAGGUAAUGGCUCACCAAGGCGACGAUCUAUAGCUGGUCUGAGAGGAUGAUCAGCCACACUGGAACUGAGACACGGUCCAGACUCCUACGGGAGGCAGCAGUGAGGAAUAUUGGACAAUGGACGCAAGUCUGAUCCAGCCAUGCCGCGUGAGUGAAGAAGGCCUUAGGGUUGUAAACUGCUUUUAUAUGUGACGAUUAUGACGGUAGCAUAUGAAUAAGGACCUGCUAACUACGUGCCAGCCGCCGCAGUAAGAC
rnacentral:rRNA from 1 species